rnacentral:rRNA from 1 species
UACGGAGGAUGCAAGCGUUAUCCGGAAUGAUUGGGCGUAAAGCGUCCGCAGGUGGCCGUUCAAGUCUGCUGUCAAAGACCGGGGCUUAACUUCGGAAAGGCAGUGGAAACUGAACAGCUAGAGUAUGGUAGGGGCAGAGGGAAUUCCUGGUGUAGCGGUGAAAUGCGUAGAGAUCAGGAAGAACAGCGGUGGCGAAGGCGAUCUGCUGGACCAUAACUGACACUCAGGGACGAAAGCUAGGGGAGCGAAUGGG